CAUGUCUUUUUGAUAAUAAUUUAAAGUCUAACCUGCCCACUGAUUUUUUUUGAAGGGCUGCAGUAUUUUGACUGUGCGAAGGUAGCAUAAUAAUUAGUUUUUUAAAUGAAAACUAGAAUGAAUGGUUGGACGAGAUAUAGACUGUCUCUUUAUUAAUUUUUUAGAAUUUUAUUUUUGAGUUAAAAAGCUUAAAUUUUUUUUAAAGACGAGAAGACCCUAUAGAGUUUAAUAUUUUACUUUUAUUUUUAAUUAAGUAUUAAAUUUAAAUUAUUAGUAGUUUAUUUGGUUGGGGUGACAUAUAGAUUUAUUUAACUCUAUUAUUAUUUUUUCAUUAAUUAAUGUUUAAUUGUUCUUUUUUUAAAAAUUUUUAGAUUAAAUUACCUUAGGGAUAACAGCGUAAUUUUUUUGGAUAGUUCAAAUUGAUAAAAAAGAUUGCGACCUCGAUGUUGGAUUAAAGUUAAUUUUUGGUGUAGUAGCUUAAUUGAUUAGGUCUGUUCGACCUUUAAAACUUUACAUGAUCUGAGU
rnacentral:rRNA from 1 species